rnacentral:rRNA from 1 species
ACACUCCUGCGGGAGGCAGCAGUGGGGAAUAUUGCACAAUGGGCGCAAGCCUGAUGCAGCCAUGCCGCGUGUAUGAAGAAGGCCUUCGGGUUGUAAAGUACUUUCAGCGGGGAGGAAGGCGAUAAGGUUAAUAACCUUGUCGAUUGACGUUACCCGCAGAAGAAGCACCGGCUAACUCCGUGCCAGCAGCCGCGGUAAUACGGAGGGUGCAAGCGUUAAUCGGAAUUACUGGGCGUAAAGCGCACGCAGGCGGUCUGUCAAGUCGGAUGUGAAAUCCCCAGGCUCAACCUGGGAACUGCAUUCGAAACUGGCAGGCUAGAGUCUUGUAGAGGGGGGUAGAAUUCCAGGUGUAGCGGUGAAAUGCGUAGAGAUCUGGAGGAAUACCGGUGGCGAAGGCGGCCCCCUGGACAAAGACUGACGCUCAGGUGCGAAAGCGUGGGGAGCAAACAGGAUUAGAUACCCCUGUAGUCCCAU